rnacentral:rRNA from 1 species
CUAGCGUUGCUCGGAAUCACUGGGCGUAAAGCGCACGUAGGCGGAUCGUUAAGUCAGGGGUGAAAUCCUGGAGCUCAACUCCAGAACUGCCUUUGAUACUGGCGACCUUGAGUUCGGGAGAGGUGAGUGGAACUGCGAGUGUAGAGGUGAAAUUCGUAGAUAUUCGCAAGAACACCAGUGGCGAAGGCGGCUCACUGGCCAGAUACUGACGCUGAGGCGCGAAAGCGUGGGGAGCAAACAGG